AUGCUUGUCCCUGAAGCCAUCACCUCAACUUGUUUGAGCUUUUGAAGAAAAUAAACCUGUCAUUUUCUGGUUUAUAUGGUGUCCAGUGUCUGGUCUGGCAGGAGGUCUGGGGAGAGAGCCCACUCUCGUUCUCUGUUACGGCCUGACCCUGGACCUGGCUGUAACAGAAUUGGAGGCUUGUCCAGGAUUUGAACCCGGGACCUCAUCAGGCCCCUAGUGUUGAUCUCACUUAUUCGAGUUGAGCAUUCUCAAGCUCAGUAUAAACCAGUUCUGACUGUGAAGCCUAAAGGACCACAAAUAUUCAGUGGAGAGACCGUCACACUCAGAUGUUUCAUUCCAGGACAGAGAGUUACAGACUGGAAGUACUACUGGUACAGCGGUGACAAA